rnacentral:lncRNA from 1 species
UUCAUUUACUUUAUGUAGAUUUUCUUAAUUUGUGUGCCCCAUUUUUUUUGAAAUAUUAUAAAUGAGACGGAUGAAGUAUAACUUUUUCAUCAUUUUUCUCUUCGCUUUCAAUUUCUGAUGUUUUUAUUUUUAUUUUUUUAUUGUAUUUGAGACGUCUACAAAAAUUAAUCAUUUUCUAUUUUUGGAAACUUUUUAUAACAUGUCGAUAAUUACUAAAUAUAACACUACAAUAAAAUAUUUCAAUAUACACAUAAUUUUUUUUAUAAAUGGUGACAUCCAUAAAUGUAACUAAUUAAAAUUGUGACAUGUUAUAGUUGAGUAGCUAUUAUGCGUAUCACAAAAGAGUAGAAACAUACCACUAAAUUUGGUGAUAUUAAUUUUAAUGAGUAACUAUUGUUUUGAUAUUAUUAAAUUGUGGCUAUUAUUAAAGGAAAAGGAAAAACGGACUUAAGAACCUUUGAAAGCACAAGAAAGCAAACUAAGGGCCGAGCCUCAUUAAAACCUCAGUAAGGAAAAUCCAGAGGGAAAAGCCCUACAGAAAAAAAAGGAAAAAAGAAAAAAAGAGAGUGCUCGUCUAUAAAACAAAACAACACGAAAAGGUGGGACAGAGCAUGGAAGGCAAUUUCAAAGGCUCUGGCCUAACCAUCGCCCCUAAGUCGCUGUGGCUCUGCCCAACCCAAAAAAUUGAGACCACGAGAAAUCUGAUGCAUGGAGACAACCCCCAAAC